CCUCGGGUGGCUGCAGUAAGGAAUAUUGGUCAAUGGACGAAAGUCUGAACCAGCCAUGCCGCGUGGAGGAUGAAGGUCCUCUGGAUUGUAAACUUCUUUUAUAUGGGACGAAAAAAGGCCUUUCCAGGUCGUCUGACGGUACCAUAUGAAUAAGCACCGGCUAACUCCGUGCCAGCAGCCGCGGUAAUACGGAGGGUGCAAGCGUUAUCCGGAUUCACUGGGUGCGAAGGGGGGGUGGGUGGGUUGGGGUGAAAGCCCCGAGCUUAACUUGGGAACUGCCAUUGAUACUAUCAGUCUUGAAUACCGUGGAGGUCAGCGGAAUAUGUCAUGUAGCGGUGAAAUGCUUAGAUAUGACAUAGAACACCAAUUGCGAAGGCAGCUGGCUACACGAGUAUUGACACUGAGGCACGAAAGCGUGGGGAUCAAACAGGAUUAGAUACCCCAGUAGUC
rnacentral:rRNA from 1 species